rnacentral:rRNA from 1 species
CCCAUGAGUGGGGGAUAACCUUUGGAAAACGGAUGCUAAUACCGCAUACGUCUCUUUUUCGCAUGGAAGAGAGAUAAAAGACGGCUUCGGCUGUUGCUCAUGGAUAGCCCCGCGGUGUAUUAGCUAGUUGGUGAGGUAACUGCUCACCAAGGCUGUGAUACGUAGCCGACCUGAGAGGGUGAUCGGCCACACUGGGACUGAGACACGGCCCAGACUCCUACGGGAGGCAGCAGUAGGGAAUCUUCCGCAAUGGACGAAAGUCUGACGGAGCAAUGCCGCGUGAGUGAAGAAGGUCUUCGGAUCGUAAAGCUCUGUUAUCGGGGAAGAACAAGGACCGGAGUAACUGCCGGUCCCUUGACGGUACCCGACCAGAAAGCCACGGCUAACUACGUGCCAGCAGCCGCGGUAAUACGUAGGUGGCAAGCGUUGUCUGGAUUUAUUGGGCGUAAAGCGAGCGCAGGCGGUUCUUUAAGUCUGAUGUGAAAGCCCACGGCUUAACCGUGGAGGGUCAUUGGAAACUGGAGAACUUGAAUACAGAAGAGGAAAGUGGAAUUCCAUGUGUAGCGGUGAAAUGCGUAGAUAUAUGGAGGAACACCAGUGGCGAAGGCGACUUACUGGUCUGUGAUUGACGCUGAGGCUCGAAAGCGUGGGUAGCGAACAGGAUUAGAUACCCUGGUAGUCCACGCCGUAAACGAUGAGUGCUAAGUGUUGGAGGGUGUCCGCCCUUCAGUGCUGGAGUUAACGCAUGAAGC